GAUUCUUCAAGCUUCCAGCAACUUUUUUUUUUUCCUCACCCAUCCAAUGCCAUUUUUCAUUCCACCUCCAUGAAAAUCAAAUUUUUCAUGUGAUUUUUCCUUGUUUUCUUUUUAUUUCUUUUCUUUUCCUAAUCCUUCAUUCUCCUAACUUCUUGGGCACUGAAUUUGCAGCUUCUAACCCCAAUUUUCAGCACAUAUAAACCCUAGGAGAGAUAGAGAAAAAUCUCUCCUUGUUUCUUAUAUUUUCUAUUUCCACUUUACUUUCAACAACUCUAGGAUUUUUGGCUUCAAAUCUUCAUUUUCAAGGUUAAAAGGUAUAUAUUUCCAACUUUUGGAAUUUUUGAAUUUAUGGUUAUAUUUUCAGAUUUAUUCUUUAAUUUCUUCAAAUUAUUUUUCUUGAAAAAAUUAGGUUUUUGGUUGAUCUUCAUGCCUCCAAACGAAAUUUAAAUUGGAGUAGUUGACAAAAUGGGUUUGUGAAUUAGACUAGAAACUUAGGUUAAAUGUUAGGUUAGAGGGUAGAUUGCCUAUUGUAAAUUCAUUAGAAUUAUUAGAUUUAAUUUACAACUUAAUUGAGGUUGUUAUGGUUUAUUGAUAAAUAUAGGUUUUAAUGGUAUUUCGGGACUACUUGGAUUAGGA
rnacentral:lncRNA from 1 species